GUGAGACAGUUCGGUCCCUAUCCGUCGCAGGCGUAGGAAAUUUGAGAAGACCUGGCCUUAGUACGAGAGGACCGGGAUGGACGUACCUCUGGUGUACCAGUUGUCCUGCCAAGGGCAUGGCUGGGUAGCUAUGUACGGAAUGGAUAAGCGCUGAAAGCAUCUAAGCGCGAAGCCAACUUCAAGAUAAGAUUUCCCACCGCAAGGGUAAGACCCCAGAAAGACUAUC
rnacentral:rRNA from 1 species